UAGGGAAUCUUCCACAAUGGACGCAAGUCUGAUGGAGCAACGCCGCGUGAGUGAAGAAGGUUUUCGGAUCGUAAAGCUCUGUUGUUGGUGAAGAAGGAUAGAGGCAGUAACUGGUCUUUAUUUGACGGUAAUCAACCAGAAAGUCACGGCUAACUACGUGCCAGCAGCCGCGGUAAUACGUAGGUGGCAAGCGUUGUCCGGAUUUAUUGGGCGUAAAGCGAGCGCAGGCGGAAUGAUAAGUCUGAUGUGAAAGCCCACGGCUCAACCGUGGUACUGCAUCGGAAACUGUCAUUCUUGAGUGCAGAAGAGGAGAGUGGAAUUCCAUGUGUAGCGGUGGAAUGCGUAGAUAUAUGGAAGAACACCAGUGGCGAAGGCGGCUCUCUGGUCUGCAACUGACGCUGAGGCUCGAAAGCAUGGGUAGCGAACAGG
rnacentral:rRNA from 1 species